AUGCAUCAUGAAUGGUCGGGAUAGCUCAGCUGGUAGAGCAGAGGACUGAAAAUCCUCGUGUCACCAGU
rnacentral:tRNA from 1 species